GCUUAAAUAACCGCUAAGUUUAUCGAUGUAGCAGUAAUAGUUAGACCAAUAUACAUAUUAGACACAUUCCUGGCAACUGGUAGGUACAUAUCAUUUGCUGGUAGAGACACAGUGUUUCGUUCUGAAACUAUAAUAUACUAUCAAAUAUGUUAAAGUAUUAUAAGUCAAUACUGUAUCCUAGUAGACAUAUUCGUAUACGAAACUUUGUAACAGUCAGUACUCGCUCUAAACUCUAUAGAAAAUCUGUAGAUAAACCUAAAAAUAAAACAAGUUUGUUGACCUGCGAACAUCCCAAGCUGCCAGUCAGUCGCAUUAAACUCAACAGCGUGGUAUGGCGCUAAGAAGAGUUAUGAAGUUCGGACACACUAGCUUGAAAAUAAAAGCACAAUUUUAAUUUUCACUUAACACAUAAUCUUCUUUCGCUACCGAGAAAAUUCCUUGAAAGAACUCCAAAUUUAUAUCACUCAACUGUUUUUGCCAGAUCUUCAAACGAGAAUACAAACAGAAACAAAUAUUUUUGUUUUGUUUCAAAUUAAUUCCUUUUGCGUUGAGUUAAGCUAAGAGGUUGUUGCUGAUCUUUUUUUUCUUUUCUUUUUCCAUGAUUUUCCUUGUUCGUUUUUACUGUUGUUAUUGUUGUUGGUGAUAUUGCUGCCGUCAUACAUACAUACAUACAUACAUACAUACAUACAUACAUACAUACAUACAUAUACAUACGUACAUACAUACAUACAUACAUACAUACAUACAUACAUACAUACAUACAUACAUACAUACAUAUGCACAUACAUACAUACAUACAUACAUACAUACAUACAUACAUACAUACAUACAUACAUACAUACAUACAUACAUACAUACAUACAUACAUACAUGCAUACUUAUCCGGAUUACAAAUUCACAUUUAUUCCAAUAAUAAUUGGAGCACUUGAUUUUGUAAGCAAAUGCCUAACUGUCAGUCUGGACAAGAUUCGAUUUUCAGAAAAAGAAAUCAACCAACUGUUUUUCACAUUACAAAUACAACUUGUAAGCGGAACAGUAAAACUAUGCUAGAAUUUUCUCAGGUUUAAAAUGCGACAUUGUUUUCGUUAUCUACAUUCCAAAGAUAGGAAUUUUUAUCUUUGUUAGAAACCAGCUCUUUCUUCAGAAGACAAAUUUAAAUGAUUAAAAAACAGAAGAGACAUACAUACAUACAUACCAUACAUACAUACACACAUACAUACAUACAUACAUACAUACAUACAUACAUACAUACAUACAUACAUACAUACAUACAUACAUACAUACAUACAUACAUACAUACAUAUGUGAAUGUGUGUACACACAAACACAUAAACUAUAUGUGAAACAAUAUCGGUAUACAGAUGCUCAUACAUACGUGUAUAUGUAUGAACUAUGUGUGUAUAUACCCGUAUAUUUCGCAUGUACGUUGCGGGACACUCCAUGGGAUCAUCUCUUUUAUCAAGGGAAUCGAGAUGGCAUUUUAGGAAAGUGUGAACAGCCUCUCCUGUCUUCUAUAUCAAAUGGAUUUUGAAGUUCUAAGUUCGGUGGCGCAAGCUCAAGUGAGUUACACACCUUCAAUGGUUGUGACGGCUGGUAAUAUCUUGGACAGUUUGUUAACUCCACUCAUUGUGGAAUCUGGGAUUUCGUACUGACAAUCCGAAACCCUUGUUUCUAGGGGACUAUCGUGCUUCAACAUCGAAAAUACGACCCUUACUGAGAUAGGACUUGUUAGUAAGAGGCAAGUAAGAAAACAUGACAACCGAUGUUCAUUUUUUUAUUGUUUUAGAGAGAGAAAAACCAUAGGAAGAAUGGAAUUAACACAAAAUACGCUUUGCGUUUCACAAUGAUUUAAUCAACAGUCUAAAUGAAUAGGCUUCUGGCAUUCGUAGAAAAUUGAUAAAUCACAUCUUAAAUUGCGCUGGUUCUAAUUAAUACACACAUGUCUUUUAUGCGUAUCUAAUUAUACCUGACACAGACACGGAAGUUAAAGAGACAUUUUGCAUUAUUCUGGGCAGCAUUCAAAUAACUAAAACAAAACAAAGCAAAAGAAUUUUUCCAGAUGAUCUCAAUGAUUCCAAUCUCUGGAAUGGUACAAUUUAAAAACAGAGCACGACAAAAGCUGACUCAUAAGGUAUUCUACUCCUCAGGAAGAAUUACAACCGUGUUUCGUGGUCUGCUACCACAACAGCUCCUUUAUAGGAUCCAGUUAGCUCAAGACAUCAUCAGGAGGAACCACGUCCGGUUUCGGCCCCUACUCCUCUACCGUUUUGACGUGGCAGCCCCCCCCCCCUUUCGGAGGUGUCUUCAGCUCUGGUGUUGUGUGCAUGUCUUCUUUCUUCUUUCUUCCACACUAUUCCAACAAGGUAAUAGCUGCAAGAUUUCUUGGCAGCGUCCCUAACCAAAAACAGUGCCAUAUGAUUGAUCAUGUGAUCACAGGGAGCCGAUGAUUGCAAGAUGGACAGUUGCGUAAUAUAUUUUUAUAUAUAACAUUAUAUAACUUGGCAAGUCAUCUCAAUCCGAAUUAACCUCAGAAGUAGAAACGAUGCCAAACAAACCAACGUUGAAUUUCUCUCAUAUCUAGCAAGGAAAAGCAACCUCAGCGGUACCACCCCGUGUGCUCAAAGGUCCAGCAUCUCUUCAGCUUCUCAGCAGUCUUUUGUAUUCUUGGCAGGAAACGCCCAAAUCAGACAACUCAUCAAAAUUAUCAGACUUGCCAAAGAGACAAGAAUUAAUAGCCAAAGGAGGAAAGCUUGCCAACAAACAAAGGCUGUAGUGUAGAAAAAAAACGUGAAAUGGAAAACACUUGUAAAGAAAUUUAGAUACAGAAGUUAUUUGACAUGCAUAUAGAAACUUUAUGGUUCUAAUAGAACAAGUCUAACAAUGGCCAGCUAUUCAAUCUGAGUACAGUAAUCCCUCAACUAUUGCGGGUGUUACGUUCCAAAACCGGCCACGAUAGGUAAAAAUCUGCGAUAUAGAAACAAUACUGUACAUUUUUUUUUAAUUUUUAUAAUUUGUAUAUAUUUAUUUUAUUAUAAAUGCAAACCAACACCACACACUCACCUCCUGAGUUUCGUUUUCCAUAGAGUAUGUAUGAUCCUUUGUUUACUCAUCUACGGUUCACUACGUAUUUUCUUUUAAUAUACUUUAAUUAAUGUGUUAUACAGUGCAGUACUGUAUUUUUAUUUAUCAAUUCAUUAAUUUUUAGGCGUGAAAAUGCUUAUUUUACCACAGAACUAAUUCAAAUCUAAAAGAUAUAAAUACUUAUCGGUCGCAGAAACACGCGAUAUGCUGAGGAGUCUGCGAUAUAAAUUUACAUAUAUUAGCCAAAAAAUUCCGCGACAUACAGAGGGUGCGAUAGGUGAACCGUGACAUGUCUAGUGACAACUGUAGACUUUUUUCCAGAGCAAAGACCACACAUCGAUUACUGAACUCAGAUGAAGUUACAGUUAAUGUGACAUCAGCAGAGGAACUACAGAAAAUUUCAGAUAUUUUCAUUGACAUAUAUGAGAGCUGGGAAUAAAUUCAACGUAAGUAGGCAAAAGUCUUAAAUGAAAAAACAACCAUUUGGCUACAAAGACAGAAAGUGAAAAAUAGAGCAUUACCAUUUUUUGGACAGAAUCAUUAAUGUAUGUUGGACAAAAUGCUUAGCUAUAUUUCUUCGGGUUUUUUUUUUUCGUUCUGAGUUCAAAUCCCACUCUGGACAGCUCUGUCUUUUAUCCCUUCAGGAUCGGUAAAAUUAAGUACCGGUGUAAUCGACUAGCUAUCCUUCCCUCGUUCACCCUUAACAUUUCUGGCCUUGAACCAUGCAACGAACCAAACUGGCGUCCUGUUCAGUGGGUAUACUGUGGUCUCUGUCACUUCACACAAUGAAAACCGGGUGACAGACAGUACGAAUCCUAGCAAUCGAAGACAGUAAUGCGUGAGUCAAUCAUCUUUCACAGAACGCAGAUAUUGAAGAGGAGAUCCAAUAUUAGAUAAAAUAUGCUAACGCAGGCUUUUUCAUCUGAGAAUUGAAAACCAGAAUGAAGCAUAGCAGAGAUUUCUGGGAAAGAUCCUGCAUAUCAAACGGUAGAACAGACGAAGGAAUAUCGGAAGGCUCGAACGACCUUGUUCUUUUGUUCUGAAAACAUGGUUACACGUCACGAGCUUCAGCGGGAUGGUUAUGCUGGAUGAUUGCUGGCACAUCUGAUCGAUUACCUAAACAUUUUCUUCUUUCACCUAACAGAAGCAAAGCGCUCACACGCACACACGCAUACACACACACGUACGCACACACACAAACACACACACACACACACACACACACACACACACGCCCAAACACACACACACAUACGCACGCACGCACUCACGCACAAAACAAGACAAAACACAGAGGAAGUGAAUUCAAAGGUGUAAUGGAAUUGAUUUGAAACAAAAAUAUAAUUUGUCGUCUAUAUGCACGUGUGAGAAAUGCUGAUGAAUGACCAACUCACGAGAAGACAGAUUAUCUAUAAAGGAGACCAUCACUUCAGCACAACACAAACCAGACGCAUUAACGAGGAAUGUGAGCGAAGAUAACAACUCAAAGAGACUAACAAAGUACACUUUCUCCCAUGGAGCAAGAAUUCCUCGGUCUAUAUAUAUAUGAACAUCUAAUCUUCAGACACUUUCACACAAACACGCCCACAGAGAAAGCUGUGUGUAUGUGUGUGUCUUGUCGUGUGUAUUCAUGUCUGCUCUACGUCGGUGUGUGUAAGUUUGUGACGAGAACUACUGAUUCUGUAUUGACUCACUUCAUCACAUGCGUAUCCGCCAACAUCAGCUCGAGAAACUGCAAGAAAGAUGACGUCCAUGUUGUUUUCGCAUACGUACAUGUAUAUACAGGGUGCGUAAGAUAUCUGAGGACAGAUUUAUGUUUGUAAAGAAACAGAUAUAUAAUAACAGGUAAUAACUUUAUUUAUCAAAAAAAUGCUAUGAGGAUAAAAAUAAACUUUCUUUUCUAUUACGUUAUUCAACAAAGCCACCAUAAGCUCCAACAACUGCUUCUAUAUAAGAUCUAAAUCAUCUACAUACUCGAAUCAAGUGAUCCUGGUUCAUUUUGGACUUUACUCUAAUUAUGGCAGCUUUCAUAGAAUCUUUGGUGUUAUGGGCAUCUUCAUUGACCUUUCUCUCAACAACGCUCUACAUGUAAUAGUCCAAUGGAUUGAGUUCUGGGAAUUAGGAGGCCAAAUGUUAGGGGUUACGUGAUCAUGAAAAUUUUCAGUCAUCCAUUUCUGUGUUACUAGAGUAGAGCCAUGUGUCAUAUUUGCCCUUCAUCUUUCCAGUGUUGGAACAAAAAUAUAACAGCUAAACAUAGGGGUUGAUUUUUUAUGUUAUACUUCUCUACAAAUAUUUCUUACGCCAUUUUUACUAUGUCAGAACUCAGUUCUUUUACUUGCUUCAGACAUCAGAGUACGACUGUGUAGGAGCACAGCCUAGAAAAAUUUUAACCAAACGAAUCGACCCCAGUACUAAAUUUCAAGCCUGGUACUUAUUCUAUCGAGUUAUUUUGCCGAACCUCUAGGUUAUAGGAACAUAAAGACACCGGCUAUCAAUCGGUGGCGGAGAUAAACGCACACACACAUAUACCAUGGGCUUCUUUCAGUUUCCGUCUACCAAAUCCACUCAAAAGGCUUUGGUCGGCCUGAGGCUAUAGUCGAAGGCACUUAGCCAAAGUUCCAUACAGUGGGACUGAACCCAGAACCAUGUGGUUGGGAAGCAAGCUUCUUACAACGCACCCACGCCAGCGCCUAUCAACAUGUAUUGUUUUUUUGUGUAAAUAAAAGAGAGUUUGUAUUAGGGAGGAGGAGCGAAAGAGAGAAAAUAGAGGAAAGAAAUGCAGUUGAUACAUCUGUGAAUGCUUGUGUUUGUAUACAUGUGUGUGAGCAUGCACGUUCCUUAUUUCAAGGAGGCAAGUGGCUUAGUGGUCAUAGUAAUUCGGUUCACGACCGUGAGGUCCUGAGUUCGAUUCCUGGUGGUGUGCUGUGUCCUUGAGCAAGAUACUUUAUUUCACGUUGCUGCAGUUCACUCAGCUGGAAAAAAAUUAGUAGUACCUGUAUUUCAAAGGGCCAGCCUUGUCACAUUCUGUGCCAUGCUGAAUCUCCCUGAGAACUAUGGUUAGAGUACAUGAGUCUGUGGAAUACUCAGCCACUUGCACGUUAAUUUCACGAACAAGCUGUUCCGUUGAUCGGAUCAACUGGAACCCACAUCAUUGUAACCAACGGAGUGUCAGUUUUAUUAUUAUUAUUAUUAUUAUUAUUACUAUUAUUAUUAUUAUUAUUAUUAUUAUUAUUAUUAUUAUUAUUAUUAUUAUUGUUGUUGUUGUUGUUGUUGUUGUUGUUGUUGUUGCUGCUGCUGUUGUUGUUGUUGUUGUUGUUGUUAUUAUUAUUAUUAUUAUUAUUAUUAUUAUUAUUAUUAUUAUUAUUAUUAUUAUCAUUAUUAUUAUUUCAAAGAUUGUGAAGAGAUUUCUCAAUUUAUAAAUUUAUAUAAACUCCUACAAACUUAAGAUAUAGAUAUACACACACGCAGCUCUACAAAUACACAGAAACGCACACACGCGCGUGCGAGCAUACUUACAGGCAUGCACUCAGCGAAAGUUUUGUUUUCUCUUGUGUAUGCUGUUUUCUGUGUGCGUAUUUGUACGUGUGUAUACAUUUAUGUAUGUGUGCAUGUAUGUCUGUGUGCAUGUGCAUGUAUGUAUAUAUGUGUGUUGUGAGCAUGUAUGUCUGUAUCUGUGCGUGUAAAGUUUGUUUCUGUAUGUCUUUGUACAGCCAUGUGUCUGCCUGUGUCACGGGACAACACCUGUCUGUGUUCGGAUUGUCCUCGCACAGGGGCCAUCCGGACUCACGUCUUCGCCGUGAACAAUAAUUAAUCUUCUCUCUUCGCUCCUUUGCGUCACAUGAACUCAACUCUCCUCCCCCUCUUCGUCUAACACCCCUCUCCUCUCUUCCUCUCACACCCACUUCUUCCCUUCAUUCCCAUCCACCUCUCCUCUCUUUCUCUGACACCUACUUCCUCUCUUCAAUUUUACCCACCUUCUCCCUUCCACCCUCUCCCUUCAUCGUCAUCCCUCAUCGUUACCCCACCCCUACUUAUUCUAACCCCACUAUCCCUAUACAUCCCAUUCGUUCCACACAUUCUACUCCCACAUACUCCAACCCAACCCUCACACCCCACUUCCACAUUCCCCACCCAUACCCCCAUCCUCACCGAACACACACCCCACCCUUACUUCCCCCACUCUCGCUUCCCCAACACCCCACUUUUGUUUCCCCACCCUCGCCUCCCCCACACCACACACAACCAUACCACAGCACAUCACACCACUUCCCAGCACCCACAACAUCAUCCACACACCUUCACAUGCACACACGCACACCUCAAGGUCACAAGCCCUUAUCCACACGCACUUAUACACUCUCACAUACACACGCACGUGCACCUUCGCUUUGGGAUCACUACUAUUUUAUUAUCUCCCCUUCUUCCUAGCUCUCCUGUCUGGCUACCUCUGUCCGGCAUUUACCAUGAUUGAACGGUAGCCACAAAACCUUUUUUUAUUUUCUCACUCUAUUUUCUGUGUUCCUCUCUGUGGAAGAGCGUAAGCUAGAAACGUAAAAGACUUCCUCACUUCCCAAGCGCUAAACUAAUACAGCUGUUUGUUAUUUACACACCCGUCUUCGUCUUUUGUUUUCUUUAUUAUUUUUGUAAAUUCCAACUAUAUAUAUAUAUAUAUAUAUAUAUUUAUGUAUAUGUAUGUCUGCAUGUAUAUAUAUGUAUGUAUAUAUAUGUAUGUAUGCAUGUAUGUAGAUAUAUAUAUAUAUAUAUAUAUAUAUAUAUAUAUAUAUAUAUAUAUAUAUAUAUACAUAUAUAUAUGUAUAUAUAUAUACGUAUAUAUAUGUAUAUUUAUGUAUAUAUAUAUAUGUGUGUGUGUGUGUAUGUAUAUGUGUAUAUAUAUAUAUAUAUAUAUAUACAUACGCACACACACACACACAUAUAUAAAUGCAUGCAUACAUACAAGUGUGUGUGUGUAUCUUCGUAUUUGUCUGUCAGUAAUGAUAACACAGGUAUUUUAAGCCAUUUUUCUCUCACAAUUCCUGUUCUAUGCCAAAAAUCACUUAUCACUGCCUGGUUCAAUGCGGAACUACAUUCAAGAUAAUAGACAGACAACAAACGAAACCAAAAAAAAAAAAAACAAUUCCUUACACUCUAUAGAUAUAUUAUUGAGUCUCACUAUAUUUUGUGAGGAAUGGAUGAAGUGAAAAUGUUCUAUCUAAAGUUUUCCCUUUAAAAAAACAAUUUAUCAGCCAACGACAUCCAUUAAUGAAUGAUUAUUGAUACAUCCGUUUUACAUCAAAUAGAAUCUUAUCCCCAUGGUUUCUUUUUUUUAUAUUUCUUUUCUGAAGAUAUAUUCAGAAUACGUCGGAAUAAUAAUAAUAAUAAUAAUAAUCCUUUCUACAGGAAGCACAUGGCCUCAAAUUUGGGAGAAGGGAUUAAUUCAAUUACAUCGACUCCAGUACGUAACUGGUACUUAAUUUAUCAACCUCGAAAGGAUAAAAGGCAAAGUCUACAUCGGCGGAAUUUGAACUCAGAACGUUGCGACGGGCGAAAUACAGCUAAGCAUUUCGUCCAGCGCGCUAACGAUUCUGCCAGCACGCCGCCUUAAUAUUAAUAACAAUGAUAAUAAUAAUAAUAAUAAUAAUGAUGAUGAUGAUAAUAAUAAUGAUGAUGAUAAUAAUAAUAAUGCAGUACCAGGCAGUGGCUCUCAUGGCUUCUGAUAUUAACUGAUUGGAAGUGUUAUCAUGUACAUUGUUUUGUCUUGGUAUAAAAGAUGGGCUACAGCAAAUAUUCUGCUCAAUAACACAGAUUUGCUUGUCAGUUGUUUGACCUUAACCAGUUGAGCAUGUACCUUAGUGGCUGACGAUAUGUGCAUUUCUGAUCACGAGCAGAAGUAGUGGGGGAGCAUCAUAGCCAUGUGUUGAGAGGGAUUCUUUGGGGUUUGAAUAAUUCACCUCUGGAAACAUGGGUGGUUCUUUCAACAUCCUUAAACAACCCUUAUUCAGGGACCUUUUGAGCGGGAUGGGCUACUCAACCUGAAGAAAAUUCUAACUGGGCCCCACCUGCAAGGUCAUGUGCUGUUUAUCUUGAUAUGAGAUCACCAUGUCGCGCACAUAUGGUUGUGAUGCAUGUGCCUGAUGUACCCUUAUCAGACGGGUAGUCAUGAUGGGUAUAUUGGGCUUCGUAUAUUUUACCCCAGUGCCACUUUGAUGGCAUGCACUGCUCUCUCACUCAAUAAUAAUAAUAAUAAUAAUAAUAAUAAUAAUAAUAAUAAUAAUAAUAAUAAUAAUAAUAAUAAUAAUAAUAAUAAUAAUAAUAAUAAUGAUAAUAAUAAUAAUAAUAAUAAUAAUAGAAUAUAGUGCUAAUUGAGAAAGAAAUCAAACGAUAGAUAUAGCAUUCCUAGUUGGUGAUAAGGAAGAAAGAAAAGUCGAUAGGUAUGACAGGUUAGCUUGGGAGGUUAAGCAGUUGAGGUCGAUGAAAAAGGUGGUAUUAGCACCAAUAAUUGUCGGAGUAGCACCAAUAAUUGUCGGAACAUUAAGUAAAAAUCUUGAGAAGUACAUGGAACAAAUAGGGGCUGCAAUACGGGUGGAGCACUUGCAGAAAACAGCACAGUAUGGAACCACUCGAAUACCUCGGUUGGUGCUCGAAAAAUAAGGGCGUUAACUUAGUUCACUGGUAGUGAACAGCUGGCACCGUAGUACAUCUUCAACAUUAGAAGCUGUGCAAAGGCAAUAAAUAAUAAUAAUAAUAAUAAUAAUGAUAAUAAUAAUAAUAAUAAUAAUAAUAAUAAUAAUAAUAAUAAUAAUAAUAAUAAUAAUAAUAAUAAUAGUAAUAGUAAUAAUAAUAAUAAUAAUAAUAAUAAUAAUAAUAAUAAUAAUAAUAAUAAUAAUACAUACAUACAUACAUACAUACAUACAUACAUACAUACAUACAUACAUGCAUACAUACAUACAUGCAUGCAUACAUACAUACAUAUGUAUAUACACAUGCACACUGACGUAUACACAUGCGCACAAACAAACAAAAAGAACGCAUCUUCGAUAACGAACAGCUUCAACGACUGUUGAAGAGGCUGGAAGAAGCAAUGAGUGUGUUAAUUAAUAAGACAUUAAAACAGAAUGACUCUCCCCAAACAUAUCAACAAAAUAAUAAUAGCCCUUUCCACUAUAGGCACAAGGCUUGAAAUUUUGGAGGAGAAGAGUUGUCGAUUACUUCGACCUCGGUGUUUCACUGGUACUUAAUUUAUCGACUCCCGAAAAGAUGAAAGGCAAAGUCGACUGUGGGAUGACGUCAGCAGCUGGGAAGCUGACCGGAACUUGGGGCUGACCGGAAGGGGCAGCGGUUACGCGCGCGCAGCGAGGACAGGGUACUGCCUUUUCGAGGCAGGUCGCCGAGCGGGUAAGACGGGGUCAGCACGUUGUUAAGGUUGGGAAAAGCAGCUGCUAUUUCUAGCGUUCGGGUCGGGCUGUGUUGAAGGAUCCAUUACCGCUGAAGGGUCUCCAUCUGAGCGAAGAGAAGGUGGUGCCUUCUCCGGCGAAAUUUGAACUCACAAGUUUCACUUGAAAAGGAAAGUGAAAGUAGAGAGGGAAGUUCCGCAUCCCAGUAGUUUCGUUGAAAGGCGGGUGCGUGUGGAGAGGGUGGCCUGUAUGAAUGGGCCUACUAUGAACAUUCGUUUGUAAACCGGAUGAGUUGAGAAAGAGAGAAACGCCUGCUGAGGUGCAUCUGACGGUCGGGAUAACCGGAAUGUGUGUGGUUCCACGGGCGUCCUUAUGAGGAACUCCCCCACCCUUGGGGAGAAUUUUAUUGUUUAAUUGUAUUGUUGUCAUUGCUAUUUUUGUGUGUUAAAUCCCACGCGUCCCCAGUUUUGUACUGUUCCUAUUUGUUUUGUGUUUGGCCCUUGUGGCCAAUAAAGAAACGAUUAUUAUUAUUAUUAUUAUUAUUAUUAUUAUUAUUAUUAUUAUUAUUAUUAUUAUUAUUAUUAUUAUUAUUAUUAUUAUUAUUAUAUGUUGCUAGUUACUCAAUUGAUCUUACUCCAUCUCCGAAGAAAGAGACGUUAUAUGAAGUAACUCUUCUCGAUUGCAGAGAGAGAAGAGGGGAUAUAUAUAUAUAUAUAUAUAUAUAUAUAUAUAUACCGGAGUAAGCAUAUAAAUAUGAAACAAGGUGGAAAAAAGAGUACUCAAAUACCAGAGGUAGAGUAAUAUGCUUUAUUUAAAAGCAGCAGAAAUACAACAAAAGUUGUUACUCGGAGUUUCACGUUCCCGUUCGCCGGACAGUUUUAUAUAUAUAUAUAUAUACUCAGGAAGAGAGAGAAAGAGAGAGAGAGAGAGAGAGAGAGAGAGAGAGUGAGUGACAGAAGGGGGGGUGAAAAGAGAGAAGAAUCAGCCCUUUUACUUUCCUACUACUUUAUUUAUCGAACCCAAAUCGACGAAAGAAAAAAUUAUAGCUUGGCGGAAUUAGAAUUCAGAAUGCAGAUUUUUACGAGACAUUCUAACGUUCUCAGCUGUAUAAUAGUAUUUUUAUGUUUUUCUAACAUUGACACAAGGUCAGAAAUUUGAUGGGACCUUGACGGGAUUUGAACUCAUGACUUUCAAUACCGUAGCUAACGACACCUUUGUUUCAUAUUUUGUCAUAAGUCCAAUAACUUUUUGAGAGAAGAGGGCUUGCCUUUACAACUGACACCAAUACUUGAGUCCCACUCUAUUUUAUCGAUCGAUCUUGGACGUAUGAAAGCAAAGAUGACUUCGGCGAACGCCUCGACCAAUCGACUGUCCUUAAUAUGCAUGACACGCACUAGCACGCACACACACACACACACACACACACACACACACACACACACACACACACACACACACACACACACACACACACACAUACAUACAUACACACACACACUGAAAUUACUUUCAGUUACAUUCCGUUACCGGCAGUAGGAUUUCAAAUCGUUAUUUCAAGUUAACAAAAACCCUUAUCGUAUUCAACCCCAUUGAAAAACGGCCUUUUUCACAGAUGGUCUGGAUCUUCUUCACAUGAUAUCUAUUUUUUCAUAGCUAGGUGUAUGGCUUAGAAGCUGUUACUACAGUUUUCUGUGUUUACCAAUAGAAGCAAUAAUAAUUUAGAGCAGCCAAUGAGGAACUCACUAUGUAAUGAAUCGUUAUGCUAGACAUAACAACCUAAAUCUCUCUGAUAACGACGUAAUAAUAAUAAUAAUAAUAAUAAUGAUAAUAAUAAUAAUAAUAAUAAUAAUAAUAAUAAUAAUAAUAAUAAUAAUAAUAAUAAUAAUAAUAAUAAUAAUAAUAAUAAUAAUAAUAAUAUUCUGCUCAAUACCAGAAAUUUGCUUGUCAGUUGUUUAACCUUAACCAGUUGAGCAUGUCCCUUAGUGGCUGACGAUAUGUGCAUCUCUGAUCACGAGCAAAAGUAGUGGAGGAUGCAUCAUAGCCAUGUGUUGAGAGGGAUUCUUUGGGGUUUGAAUAAUUUGUUCAAUAUUCUUAAACAAUCUUAAUUCAGGGACCUUUUGAGUGGAAUCGACUACUCGACUAGAAGAAAAUUCUAACUGGGCCCCACCUGCAAGGUCAUGCGCUGUUUAUCGUGAUAUGAGGUCACAUAUGGUUGUGAUGCAUGUGCCUAGUGUACCCUUAUCAGACGGGUAGUCAUGAUGAGUAUACUGGGCUUUGUAUAUUUUACCCCAGUGACACUUUGAUGGCAUGCACUGCUCUCUCACUCAACAACAAUAACAACAAAAGCAACAACAACGAUAACAACAACAACAACAACAACAACAACAAUAAAAAUAAUAAUCAUAAUAAUAAUAAUAAUAAUAAUAAUAAUGAUAAUAAUAAUAAUAAUAAAUAUUUAAAAAAACGGGCUGACACUUUGCAUAAUGUAGACCUUAGUGCGCGUUAUUCAAAAGAUUAUCGCUGAGAUGCAUUUAAUCAUAGGUUUACACGGCUGAGACAGAUUAGUUCAAAAAACAACACAAACAAAUCAUCAGCAGCAGCAACAGCAUCAUCAUCAUCAUCAUCAUCAUCAUCAUCAUCAUCAUCAUCAUCAUCAUCAUCAUCAUCAUCAUCAUCAUCAUCAUCAUCAUCAUCAUCAUCAUCAUCAUCAUCAUCAUCAUCAUCAUCAUCAUCAUCAUCAUCAUCAUCGCCGCCACCACCACCACCACCACCACCACCACCACCACCACCACCACCACCACCACAACAACAACAACAACAACAACAAGAUCAUUAUAAGAACCAUAACAAUUUAGCUGCUAACUUUUGCUAAACAUUUUAAUACUUUAUAUCCAAUGUUUCGUCCGGUACUUUAACAUGAGAGCAAAGUCGUGUAUAGUUUUUUUUUGUUUUUUAAAUCAGAACUAGCAGUAUCGCCCGGCGUUGCUCAGGUUUGUAAGGGAAAUAACUAUAAAGCAUUUUUAGAGAGUUAUAGCCAAAAAAUAGCAAAAAAAUGGAAAAAAAAUUAUGGUAAAUUUUUUUUUGAGAGUAAAAAAGGUUGAGUUGCGUCCCCUAGACAGUCUGUGGUUUGUUUUUUUUGAUUCUCGACCCCAUGUCGAAUUUAUCGAUUUUUUCAGAACUGGGGUUAACUUUUCAAAAUUUUCGCUGCGUUAGUUUUGAAUUAUGACAUUGGGCUAUGUGUGUGUCAAGUUUCAUCAGAAUCGGUUGAAAGCCGUGGUCAGGGUGAGGGUACGAGAAAACAGACACACAGAAACACGCACAGACAAACUGCCGUUUAUAUAUAGAGAGAUAGACAUUUUUUUUUUGCUUCUUUUGCGAAAUCGUUUUUCUUUCUUUCUUUCUUUUUAAUUAGAAAACUGACAUAUUUAUUGGAAUUUAACUUAUAUUUGCAUCAAGUCACGAGUGAAUCUUUUAGUUUUGAACUUAAAGAACAUGUGUAUCUCAUCUUGGUGUGAAAGAAAUUAUACUUUAUUCGCAUUAUUGACCAUAUUCCGCAACGAAUACUUUCGCUUUUCUACAGAAAUUCCAGGAGAAUUAGGCUUCGUUUGAUCAAACUAUUGUUCACGAAGAGAUUGGCAAUCCCAACUCAGAACUUACAGAUGAGGCCAGAUAAGGCUGACAUUUUUGAAUUCGGAACAGAAAGGUUGUUGCUGACGUUGUUGUUUAAUUCCAAGACAGUAAUAGUAGUAAUGGUGGUGGUGGCGGCGGCGGUGGUGGCGGCGGCGGUGGCGGUGGCGGCGGUGGAGGUGGUGGCGGGUUGGUGGUGGUGGUGGCGGUGGUGGUGGUGGUGGUGGCAGCAGUAGCUGUGUGGCAGUAGUGGUAUUGUUGUUGUUGUUUAUUAAGCAACAAGACGGGUAAGGGUGAUUAGGUGAUGGUCUAGGGCUUAGGGGCGGGAGACCCCAGAUCUUGGAAAAAAAAAAACUUUGGUCGUCUUGUUGUAGUCGAGGGCUCUUCGUUGACGCCCGACACCACUGGGAGGUGGCCCACGAAGUCGCUGGAAAUGGAGACUUCCAGGUCCAAAUUCUUGAGCGGCUGUUGUUGUUGUUGUUGUUGUUGGUGGUGGUGUGGUUGUGGUGGUGGUGGUCGUCGUCGUCGUGGGAUCAUUUUUUUACAAGGACAGACGGAAGUCCACAAGAGUUUAACCUUUAGACGGCAUGGACUGUUGUUAUUUAUUGUUUCGACGCUACAGGAGGGAGUGUAAGGAAGAGGUACAGAAAGAGAGAGAGAGCAAAGCCAACCAAUGGGAAGGGUUUGAAUAUCAAAGUGUUAAAGGGACGUAACUAAAAAAGCACAAGGUCAAUAUUCCGAUUCUCUUAAUAACAAGAACAACUACACCGAUUAAUAACAUUAACAAAAGGUCACAACAACACAAUGUCAAAAGGUCACGAUGUCAGAAAGUCAUAAAUUUGUAUGGUAGGAGGGCAUGUCUACUGAAUAUACUAAACUGUAGAUUCCUCGGUAGUUAUUCUACCAACUGCAGAGGAUGUCAGAGACCGUUGCUACUCGGAGUUGGUUAAACUAAUACCACUUCCACUUAGGUAUUUCUAUCCAACUAGUCUCUUAUUUCUUUACUACCCACAAGAGGCUAAACACAGAGGGGACAAACAAGGACAGACAAACGGAAUAAGUCGAUUAUAUCGACCUCAGUGAGUAACUGGUACUUAAUUUAUCGAUCCCGAAAGGAUGAAAGGCAAAGUCGACCUCGGUGGAAUUUGAACUCAGAACGUAACGGCAAACGAAAUACCGCUAAGCAUUUCGCCCGGCGUGCUAACGUUUCUUAUUUCUUUAUUGCCCACAAGGGGCUAAACGUAGAGGGGACAAACAAGGACAGACAAAGGGAUUAAGUCGAUUAUAUCGACCCAAGUGCGUAACUGGUACUUAAUUUAUCGAUCCCGAAAGGAUGAAAGGCAAAGUCGACCUCGGCGGAGUUUGAACACAGAACGUAACGGCGGACGAAAUACGGCUAAGCAUUUCGCCCGGCGUGCUAACGUUUCUGCCAGCUCGCCGCCGUAGAUCCAACUAGUCUCUUGUUUUCUCAUCCCUCUUUUUGUGUCCGCGCUCCACUAAACUCCACACAAGUCUCUAUACUCACUUCUUUCCCAAAGCGUUGUUCGUCUAGUAUUCCCCUUCCCCUUAUUCAUGUCUUUUUCGCAGAUGAUAACUAACAAAAGUUCAAGAGGAGAAUCAGUUAGCUGCAUCAAUUUCAUCUAUCUCCGAGAGCCUGAAAAGACUAUAGGUGUUGCUUCUUUAUCUGGACUUACCAACUGAAUGGAAUAAAAUAUUACAAAAAAGAAAAAAAAAACAGUAUGUGUCCACAUGAAAUGAACACAUUCAGAUUUGCUAUUUAGGAAAAGGACAUAUAUUGAUAUAAACGUAUUUGCUUGCAGCCUAUUUUCUACGUCGUUGGUAACAUUACAGGAUUAAAUUUCAUAUCGUUAAUGUAUAUAAAAGAAAGAGAACGAAAAAUAUCUUUGAAGAAAAAAAAAAAGCAAGUCAGACAAGAAGGUGUGUAGUGGUUUGGAACCAAUAACCUUAUGAUUGCAAAGCGAACUCCUUAACCACAAGGCUAAGAGAAACUAAUUAGCGUUCAUCAAGCCAGCUAUAACAAUUUCAGUCUGUUGAAUAAGAUAGAGCACCCCCAGGUGGGGAGCUGAGAGAGUCAUUAGCGCGCCGGGCAAAAUGCUUAGCAGCAUUUCGUGUAAAUCAUUACGUUCUGGUUUCAAAUUCCUCUCAAGUUGAUUUUUUUUUGUUACCGUUUAUCAUUUCUGGGUCGAUAAAAUAAGUACCAGUCAAGCACUGGGAUCUAUAUAAUCGAUUUAAUUCCCUCCAUGAAAUCGCUGGCCUUGUACCAAAAUUUGAAAUCGGUAUAACAGACCACCAGUAAUUCGUCAUUCAAAUAUUUUCAGACUCUGCAAAAGCCAUUAUAACAUUCUUUCUAAAUGUUUUUUUUCUUUGUUUAUUUUCUUUUAUCUGCAUAAUAAUUUAUUUAUUUAUUUACUUAUUUAUUUCAGUCAUUCUUACUUUCAUUUACCAUUAUUACUCCAUCUCUUUAUUUCUUUCUUUCUUUGAUUAUUUAAUAUUUCUUUCUUUUUUUUGCGUUUCUUACUUUCUCUUUCACUUUUCGUUUAUUCAUUUCAUUCAUUUUAUUUCUUUCCUCAUUCAUUCUGCUUUUUACAUUGUUUUCUUUCUUAUUCUCCGUCUCUCAUUAUUUUCUUUCCAAUCUUUAUAGUUAUUCUUUCAAUAAUUUUCUCGUUCAUUCCUUCUACCUUUAUCUUUAAUAAACAAUUGCAGCUUGGAAGGUGUUUAUAAACCAUUUAAAAACACACACAAAAAAACCGUUAGAUUCACUUCAACAUUAAAAUUUAAUUUGUCAAAAUAUUUUCGUCGCUUUGAAACCGCGACCUCUUCACUGACAAAAUUUUCCGUGCCGCUGUGUUGCUUGCUUUAAGUUCGUGAAAUUUUUCGUUCUCCAUCCAUGAUAAACUGUUCAACAAUAAAAUUAAUUUUAAAAAUGGUUGCAAGAAAAUAAUCAUUCAGCUAUUUACUGAAAUGAUUGGAUGGCGAAAACUGAAAUGACAAAGCCUGUGGGUUGUCUAGAUUAUUUGUGUGAGAGAUCGAGAUUAUAUGUAAUACGACAGUGAUGAAUAAAUAAAUAUCUACUUGCAAGUUUUCAUAAGAGAAAUUUAAAGAAUGGAGAUUCAUCAUUUUUCUAUUUCAUAAUAAACAUAAUCCUUUUAAAAGAUUAAAUUUAUAUCUUAGAAAGUGGUAGAUUAUGUUUUUAACGACUGUGUUGAGAAAUGUGUCUGUGAUUGUGUGUGUGUGCGUGAGUUUGUGUGCAUGUGUGUGUAUGUGUUGUUCUACAAACAUGCAUACGUGCAUACAUACAUGAAUACACGUACAUGCGUACAUACAUACAUACAUACAUACAUAAGUACAUACAUACAUACAUACAUAUAUACAUAUAUACAUGCACACAUAUACAUACAAACAUGCACACACACAUAUACACAUACACAAACAUACAUGCAUGCAUCCCUACAUACAUACCUACCUACCUACCUACAUACAUACAUACAUACCUACAUACAUACAUACAUACAUACAUACAUACAUGCAAAUAUACAUACAUAAAUACAUACAUACAUACAUACGUACAUACAUACAAAUAUACAUACAUACAUACAUACAUACAUACAUACAUACAUCCAUGCAUCCAUCCAUCCAUCCAUCCAUACAUACAUACAUACAUACAAAUAUACAUACGUACACACGGAAGUUGAGAGCGAAAGGGAGGGGAGAUGGGGGGAAGUUAUGCCACAGACAGAUUUCUCAAAAAUUAUAAUCAUGAUUUCACUCCGUCCGUCCAAAAGUUGACCUCACUUCAAUGCAAGGCUUGUGUACUUUUAUUUAUCUAUAUAUUUAUUCAUUCAUUUAUUUGUUUAUUUUACUGAUACCAAGCAGUUACACCAAUCAACAACGCAAUGUUCCAUCUGGCAUUGGACAACCUGUCACCGUUAGCUCAGUCCUCAAGAACCCUGUUUCCUGUCAUAAGAAGAAUAUGGAAUUUUAGUUACGAACGCAAAGAGCCACCAAAAUGAAUCUCUCCACGCUCUAAAAGUUUCACCAAAUCAGUCGUGCAGGUCUGAUACUUUUAUUCUUAUCGAUCUACUGAUCAAACGUCGUGUCAAACAGGAAUAUUGAUUAAAUUUAUCACUCAACAAAAAAAAAAAUGAUCUUUUCAGUAACGGUUUUUCACGCAGUUUCUUUUGGUGAAGCCAAGUAUUUAUCUCUCUCUAUAUAAAGCUGAAGUUGUCUAUGUAUGGCAGGUUUGGUAGCCUUCAACUAACACUAUCUCCUCCGAGACCCUGCGGCGCAAGUUGACCAAAAUUGAAAGUAUGAUAGAAGAAGGCUUGCUCUUCCUUCCGUAGAAGAAAAAAUUCAAAUCGGACCAUGUUAAGACCAAAAAUUAUUUACAUCAAAAAGGUGCUUUUUUUUCUAUGAAAAUUCCAAUAUUUUACGAUUUUUUGACUUCUAUGUCGCCAUUUUUCGGUGUAUUUCAACCAGAAAAAUGUUCACUUAAAGAGAAUAACAAGCUACAUAAUGCAAACAUUUUUACUUUUCAAAAAUUCCAAUUCUAAAGGGUCGAAAAGAAAACAAACCCGAGCAACGCCGGGCGAUACUGCUAGUGCAUGAUAAAGCGUGCGAUGGAUUUACUUUCUACCACCGAAGAACUGAAAACGCAAAGAUUUCGAUUAAAUACUACAAGUUACUUCUUCUCACUCUCCGACAAUAUACCCAAUACGCUGUGCUGGACUCUGACAUGAUGAAAUAGUAUGUUUAACCCUGACGGUGUCUGAAUUCAAAGCGCGGAGCGGCUGGCGAAGUAACCACCGAACUAACGCUUUAUCGACCUGCCAGUUCACUUCCUGUUACCUUUUGAACCAUUAAUUAUAUUUAUCUAUUUAUUCAUUUAACUAUUUAUUUAUUUAGUAAAGAAGAACAGGUUGGAUGGGGCAGAAGCCAUGGCAUUUUCAAUGAGGUCUGUCCAGAUGAUGUUCUAUUCUUGUAGGUUCUUAUGACAAUCGUCAGUAUGUGAACGAGGAGUUGAAUUUCACGGGGUCCCAGUUGCCACAAGGCUGGUUGAGUCAGCCAAGCGUGCAGUGGGAUUAUUUGUUAAGUGGACGCAGAAGCAAUGUUGUUAGGCUCUAAGUCAUCUCAUCUUGUUUAUCAAGAGGUACAUUAUUUAAUCUUCUCCUCGUACACAUAUAAAGAAAUAUGCUCACGCAACUAAACAUAGAGAGAAAAGGAGAGAGACAGACAGACAGACAUAUAGACAAACAGAGAGAGAGAGAGAGGUGGGGGACAUUAAAAAAUAUGAUGACAAAUAAACGAGUGCCGAAUCAGCGACGCCAAAUAGGCGACGCCAUAACAGCUGCACCGACUCAUCUCACGAGAUAAUAAUUAACUUGAGUACAAGACAUCUGCGGGAAUCUCUUCGCAGUCUUUCAAGACUACCCGAAGUAUCAACCAAUUCUCUUUAAAAAAAAUACAUCCAGCACAUCUCUCUUAUUCCACUGCCGCACCAUUCAAGGAUCAGUAGUGAUUAUGUGCAAGUAUCAAUUUCUGAAACAUCCCGAGUACAGACAUUGCUUUAUAGUUAAUAAGUUCGAACCAUAAAUAUGUGAUUUCGGGUUCAAUGUUAAUACUUUCUGCCUUGGUAUCAUGUGUUCCACCAAUGUUUCAGCUUUUUGCAUUCCGAGUUUGAAUAUUUCCAGUGGUCAACUGCACCUUCUAUUCGUCCAGGGUCGACGAAAUUAAAUACCUAUUUCUUUACCCACAAGGGGCUAAACACAGAGGAGACAAACAAGGACAGGCAAACGGAUUAAGUCGAUUACAUCGACCCCAGUGCGUAACUGGUACUUAAUUUCGUACUGGUACUUAAUUAUCGACCCCGAAAGGAUGAAAGGCAAAGUCUACCUCGGCGGAAUUUUAACUCAGAACGUAACGGCAGACGAAAUACGGCUACGCAUUUCGCCCGGCGUGCUAACGUUUCUGUCCAUUAGAGGUGGUUGAUCAAAAGAAUUAUUAGAGCGUAUUUAUUCUGGCUCUUUGAGUUUUUCUGAGUUCUUCAGUAGCAGAAUUAAUAUGUCAUGCAGUUUAUCUCUUACAAAUAUUUUAGUUUGACCAAAGCUUUGUGAGAGAAAUUCACAAGGCUUUAGUUGCGCCUGUUCUUAGAUUGUAGACUGACUCCGUUAUCCGAUUUAACACGACCACCUGGCCAUUGGGUACCUUUAGUGAAGUCUAGUCCGUUGCAAGCAUUCGGAUUAGAUAUCCAGUUUGAAAAUAGCUUUCUCCUUUCAUCCCACGAUCUCAAAAAACAUUGCCUUUUCAUUUUUGACUUGGUAAUUAAAAAUAAAUAGGCGAAUUGAUAAAAUACGCCAAACCCCAGUUCUUAUGCCAGACAAAAUACUCUCACUCUGCUCACCCAUUUGCUUCAUCGGAUGUGGUUUGAUUAAAUUACAAGAAUUCAAGCAUUGACCGAUUCAUACUAUGAUGAGAACCAAAUCUGCCGAUUGCCAAGAAGUGUGUAAGAAUAAUCAUAACACGUGUUUAGAAAUCACAAACACGCAGAUGGAUCAGCUGGUUGUUCAUCAUAUGCUAAAACUAUACACGCUCGGAUUUCAAAUUGAAUUAACACUCGCGAAAAGAAAAAAAAAGAUGGCGAAUUAAAGAAAUAAGGAAAAACGUAACAAUGUAUCACACACACACACACACACACACACACACACACACACACACACACACACACACAUACGUACGUACGGUUAGUCAAUAUUUCAACUGAAGCUUGAUGUUGUACGUUUACAUUCUCCAUAAUUAUUCCCAAAAUAUUCUUUGUUAUUUAGAAUCAGUGAUUUAUUGGUAGUGGAAUUAUGCAAAUAAUCUUAGUUUUAAACUUAACAACAACACUAAUCUACCUGACUAUCUCAUUACCAUUUCUUUCUCUUCUUUCUUACUUUCUCUCUUGCUUUUCUUUCUGUCUUUUAAUUUGUAUACCUUUAUGCUUAUUUACCAUUCUUUUGCGGCUCCAUUUAGUUUCUUUUUCUUCUGUCUAUGACUCCUUCCACUCCUUCUCUUUCAAUCUUUCUAUCGAUCGAUCUCUCAAUUUCUAUAUCUAUCUAUCUAUCUAUCUAUCUAUCUAUCUAUCUAUCUAUCUAUCUAUCUAUCUAUCUAUCUAUCUAUCUAUCUAUCUAUCUAUCUAUCUAUCUAUCUAUUCGUUUGUCUACUUGCCUACCUGCAUUCAUGCAUGCCUGCCUACCUAUCUGUAUGUCUGUGUAUCCAAUUUCUCCUACCUUUUCCUUACUUUCUGUGUGUAGGAGGGGGUGCGCGCUCGUGUAUAUAUGAAUGCAUGUAUGUAUAUAUGCAUGUAUAUAUGUAUAUAUGUAUGUAUGUAUGUAUGAAUGUAUGUAUGUAUGUAUGUAUAUAUGUAUGUAUGUAUGUAUGUAUGUAUGUAUGUAUGUAUAUAUGUAUGUAUGUAUGUAUUAUGUAUGUAUGUAUGUAUGUAUGUAUGUAUGUAUGUAUGUAUGUAUGUAUGUAUGUAUGUAUGUAUGUAUGUAUGUAUGUAUGUAUGUAUGUAUGUAUGUAUGUAUGUAUGUAUGUAUGUAUGUAUGUAUGUAUGUAUGUAUGUAUGUAAGUAUGUUUGUUUGUAUGUAUGUAUUUAUCUAUUUACGUUCAUACGUACAUAUGUAUAUAUAUACAUACUAUUGAGAUUAAACAUCUGUAAGUCAGAACUUGCAAGGAAAAAGAUCGUUGGCAGGAAGGGUAUUUCAGACGUAAGGAGGAAAUGGUAAAGGUGAUUAAUGGAGGGCAAGGAAGUAGAGACUUGGUUUUAUACGAGAGAGAAAAGGAAGCAGAUGUGUUAGAUGGGCUUCACUUUGAGGAGAUAUGAAGAUAUCUGGUUCAGAUGAGCAGAGACUGUUGUAACAGUAAUAGAAAAGGAAUGGAGAAGGCACAACAUACCUGUGAGUCAGAGAAAUCUGCAAUUUGAUUUCACUUCUCGCCUAGGUCAUUUAUACCUUUCGUCCUUCCCCGGUCGAUAAAAUAUAGUACGAAUUAAUUACUGUGAUCGAUGGAAUUAACUGACGAGCCGACAUUCCUCAAAAUCUUUUUGGGGGUUUGUUCCAAAAUUCGAAACAUGUUUUGUUGGGUUUUUUUUUUUGUUUUUGUUUUUCCACUUCUGACAAUUAAUGUUAGUAUAAUUAAUUGAAAUAGCAACAAUCCAAACUUGAUCCCACGAGAAAUGUAUCCUGUAGUAAUUCACUCAUCUCUUUUGUGAAUAAAUUCAAGAACGAUUCCAUUUUUCCCUCUCUAUGUAUUCAGCAACAGAGUAAAAAGGAAUUGUCUUCGCAUAUUGAUCGUUUUAAAAACUUAGUCUGUCUUGAGAUUUCUCCAGAGAUGAACGAGAUUA
rnacentral:lncRNA from 1 species